GACGAACGCUGGCGGCGUGCUUAACACAUGCAAGUCGAACGGAAAGGCCCUGCUUUUGUGGGGUGCUCGAGUGGCGAACGGGUGAGUAACACGUGAGUAACCUGCCCUUGACUUUGUGAUAACUUCAGGGAACUGGGGCUCAUACCGGAUAGGAGCUCCUGCUGCAUGGUGUUGGUUGGUAAGUUUCGGCGGUUGGGGAUGGACUCGCGGCUUAUCAGCUUGUUGGGGGGGUAGUGGCUUACCAAGGCUUUGACGGGUAGCCGGCCUGAGAGGGUGACCGGCCACAUUGGGACUGAGAGACGGCGCAGACUCCUACGGGAGGCAGCAGUGGGGAAUAUUGCACAAUGGGCGGAAGCCUGAUGCAGCAACGCCGCGUGCGGGAUGACGGCCUUCGGGUUGUAAACCGCUUUCGCCUGUGACGAAGCGGGAGUGACGGUAAUGGGUAAAGAAGCACCGGCUAACUACGUG
rnacentral:rRNA from 1 species